CAAUUACUGCCCUUUUCACAAGAUGGCAGAGUCAUAGGGCUGAAACGUCGACUGUAAGAUGAUUAGAAUAAAGCAGCUCAAGUCCUGUGAGUACGUUCCUUCUUGUUGGUUAAAUACUUUUCAGUUUAUGAUUUUUCCACCUGUAUGUGUUUUACAACUGGCACAAUUCAUGAUAGGGUUGGUAAAAAAAAAUUCCAGGGCUGUUUUUUAGUCUCAGUCCAGCCCUGACGAUGCAUCUGCAGAUUAGGGAGUUUAAAUUCCAAUCAAUUGUUCAUAAUACCAACUCCAGGAUAGACAUUCUCUGGUUCCUUGUCACAUGAAACACUUUGAUCUAUGGAUGUCCUGACUUGGUUUGAUCAUACCCCUUUCAAUGGCAAGUGGUUUUGUCUGCCGCAUGGAGUUAAACUAGCAAAAAGAAUGUAUAACAAAUGUAGGUAUAAAUAAACAUAAAAAUUCUGGAAAGUGACAGUUCCCCUUUUUUAUAAUUACUAUGAUAAAUGCGCAUGCGUUUAAUUAUAUACGGCAGACUCCGUUUAUUAAAUUCUCUUAAAGUGAUGACUAGCAAUCUAGUUGCAGUAUAGUAUUAACAGAGAACACCUCUGUUUAAAAAAACAUUUUUCAUUGUUUUUACCAGUGCAAUACAAGGAGUGGAGCAAAGUAUAUGGUCGAGUGUCACCUAAUACACAUUACAGAAGCAGACGCAUCAGUCUUGUGGUAUUCACCAGGAAAAUGUAAAUACCCAAUAUUUGUAUUCUUUUAUAUUUUACAAGUCCAAUUGCCUUAUCUGAUUAAUAUUAAUAUUUGCCUUGUUUAUUGUAUCCUGUCUAGUGACAUCAUGGAACCCAAAAAGCUAUCUGGUGCCCAAAAUCGAAAGUGAAACGCCAUUAUGGAAUUAGACGACCAGAAGAGUGCUGGUGAUUUAAAAAUGUUUUAUAAAAAGCUCAGCACACAUUUCUAGCAGUCAAAGGGAUAAUGUCCAUUUAGAGACGAAUAAACCUUCGUUAUCAAGUUCAUCUCUACAUGGUCAGGUUUUAAAUGUUCAAAUGUUCUUUCUGAGCCAGGGCCUGCAAAUGUUCUCCAUGAGUCAAUGUCCUCUGAGAUAGCUGAAAGUUUACCAGAUCCUUCUUCGUGACCUAAUUUAGUUUCCUAGAAUAUUGACCGUAACUUGGAUGUUGGCCCUGUGCAUAUAACAGAUAUGGCGUUUAAAAAAGAUGUUCAUAAUCUCCACUUUUCUGCUACAUUCUAUAAGAGAAUGUUAGACAGAGGAGAAGAGCAGACACGGCAAUGGCUGGGGUACUCCCCAUCUCUAAAUAAAAUAUUUUGCUUCUCUUUCAUUGGCUUAAGGAGGGUCAGAUGACUUGACACAUAAGUCACAUAUUCUAAAAUCACAUGAAGCAGUCACUUUACAGCCGUUCAGUCAUGGAUGAAAACACAACUGAGACUGAAGUCAUAACCUGCCAUUGAUCAUAAUUUGCAAAUUUUAUGGGCUGUGAAAGACAACAUUGGAGAUCAGUAAUGGAGAGACUGCUCAACAUUGUUAAAUUUUUAACUCAGCGUAACUUGACAUUUAGAGGGUCUUCAAAUCGAUUUUUCACACCCAACAAUGGAACUUUUCUGGGGCUUGUGGAACUGAUAGGAAAGUAUGACAAUGUGAUGGCAGAGCACUAACACCAGGUGACCUCAAAAUAAACAUCAGACCACUAUUGUGGUAAAACAAUUCAACAUGAGAUAAUAAACCUAAUGGCAAAACAGGUAUUAGAAGACAUUUUACAAUGUUGUAUGAAUACAAAAUAUUACUUAAUUAUCCUAGAUUGUACCCCAGAUAUUCGCCAUAAGGAUAUACAUAGGAUAUUAAUGACCGCUGUGGACAGGGCUACGAUAAUAGGGCAAAUAUGGCAGGAAAAAUAGUGGCGUCGAAGCAAGGAUUUUAAGUAUAAAUCCAAGAGCAAGAUUUGUACCAUGUGGAAGUCAUGGCCUUAUCUUGUUGUUGGAGAUGCAGCACGAUCGUGCAAGGGAUUACUCAAACUGCUUUGUGUCAUUCAACACAUUUAUGUUUUCUUUUCUGGAUCUGCCAAGAGAUGGAAGAUUUUGACUGACCAUGUAUCUGGCCUCACUAUAAAGCCCCUGUGCACAACAUGGUGGGAAUGUAAAAUCAACUGCCUUAAACCUUUGAAGCACAUUCCUACUGGAAUAGAGGAUGCAUUGAUUGUAUUGUAGGAGGAAAAACACACUAAACCUAGUAUCUGUCAUGAAGUAUUGACAUUGUCAACAUAUUGCCAAUUUCAGAUUUAUAAUAUUGUAUGUUUGGUAUGACAUAUUGCAUCAAAUCAAUAUUGUCAGCAAGGCAAUGCAACAUGAAGCUACCAAUUUGACUUUAGAUAGGAAAAUGUAAACAAUCUGUGCAAAAUUUCAGUAAUUGGAUUUGAAAGUGCAUUAGUUAUUGCAUGGGAAAUAAUUGAAAAGGCAGAUUUUGAGCCUGUUUUUGUAUAUUC